AGGGCCUCAGGUGCCUGGGGACAAACCUAAUCACCAACAUUUAUUUAUUUAUAAAAUAAUUUACCAGGAAGGAUACAUACUCUCGUUUUCAAGUAUGUCCUGUGCCCAGUAACACUGCAUUGUUAAAUAAAGUACAAUAUAAUAUUAAAAAUACAAAAUUAUAUUCAUACACAACAUACAGUAUCUCACAAAAGUGAGUGCACCCCUCACAUUUUUGAAAAUAUUUUUAUAUUUUUUCAUCUGACAACACUGAAAAAAAUACACUCACCUACAAUGUAAAGUAGUAAGUGUACAGCCUGUAAAAUAAUGUAAAUUUGCUGUCCCUUCAAAAUAACAACACACAGCCAUUAAUGUCUAAACCAUUGUCAACAAAAGUGAGUACACCCCUAAGUGGAAAUGUCCAAAUUGGGCCAAAAGUGUCAAUAUUUUGUGUGGCCACCAUUAUUUUCCAGCACUGCCUAGCCCUCAUGGGCAUGGAGCUCACCAGAGCUUCACAGGUUGCCACUGGAGUUCUCUCCCACUCCUCCAUGACGACAUCACGGAGCUGGUGGAUGUUAGAGACCUUGCACUUCCCCACCUUCCGUUUAAGGAUGCCCCUUCAGAUGCUCAAUAGGGUUUAGGUUUUGAGACAUGCUUGGCCAGUCCAUCACCUUUACCUUCCGCUUCUUUAGCAAGGCAGUGGUUGUCUUGGAGGAGUGUUUGGGGUCGUUAUCAUGUUGGAAUACUGAACUGCGGCCCAGUCUCCGAAGGGAGGUGAUCUUGCUCUGCUUCAGUAUGUCACAGUACAUGUUGGCAUUAAUGGUUCCCUGCACUCGCGUUGGCUCAGACCAUGACACUCCCACCACCAUGCUUGACUGUAGGCAAUACACACUUGUCUUUGUACUACUCACUUGGUUGCCACCACACACGCUUGACACCAUCUGAUAAAUAAGUUCAUCUUGGUCUCAUCGGACCACAGGACAUGGUUCCAGUAAUCCAUGUCCUUAGUCUGCUUGUCUUCAGCAAACUGUUUGCGGGCUUUCUUCUGCAUCAUCUUUAGAAGAGGCUUCCUUGUGGGAAGACAGCCAUGCAGACCAAUUUGAUGCAGUGUGCGGCAUAUGGUCUGAGCACUGACAGGCUGACCCCCCACCCCUUCAACCUCUGCAGCAAUGCUGGCAGCGCUCAUAAGUCUAUUUCCCAAAGACAACCUCUGGAUAUGACGCUGAGCAUGUGCACUCAACUCCUUUGGUCGACUAUGGCGAGGCCUGUUCUGAGUGCAACCUGUCCUGUGAAACCGCUGUAUGGUCUUGCCCACUGUGCUGCAGCUCAGUUUCAGGGUCUUGGCAAUCUUCUUAUAGCCUAGGCCAGGUAUAGGCAACAUUCGGCACACCAAAUGUUUUGGACUACACCUCCCAUGAUUCUUUGCUAUUAUUUUAGGUGUAAGAGCAUUAUAGGGGAUGUAG